UCCCUGGUGGUCCAGUGGUUAGGACACUGCACUUCCAAUGUAGGGGGCACAGGUUCAAUCCCUGGUCAGGGAA